rnacentral:rRNA from 1 species
UACGUAGGGACCAAGCGUUGUCCGGAUUUAUUGGGCGUAAAGAGCUCGUAGGCGGCCCUCCACGUCGGAUGUGAAAGCUCAGGCUCAACCCUGAGAUGCCAUUCGAUACGGGAAGGCUAGAGGUAGGUAGGGGAAAGUGGAAUUCCUGGUGUAGCGGUGAAAUGCGCAGAUAUCAGGAGGAACACCGGUGGCGAAGGCGGCUUUCUGGGCCUUACCUGACGCUGAGGAGCGAAAGCUGGGGGAGCGAACAGG